rnacentral:lncRNA from 1 species
CAUUUCUGACUCUCUAGUUCUUAUCUUCUUUUUUUCCUUAGAGAGAGCGAGAGAGAGAGAGAGAGAUCAUGCUAUGCUGGCGCAGUCAACCCAAGCUCAAGCUGUCUCCAGCACUGCUUGUGAGCCGGGCCCACGUUGCUGCCCAGGGACUCGGUGGUGAGGGAGGUGUGAUGUGUGAGUCUGCUGGGGCAGCCCUAGCGAGGCACACAGAGGCCACCUGGGAACCGACGGUGUCCACUGAUGGACGUUUUCCUGGGCUGAAGUAUUUCAGAUGCCCAGUGUACUCCCAGCCCUCACAGCGGUCAGUUCUGCUUCACGGGUUUCCCACAUGAUUUGGCUAAGACGUCAGCCGGCAAAGACGCUUGGGUUGGCUUUAGACAUUACGAAUAAAAGGAAGCUGCGGGAGGCGGUCAAAGUCUGAGACAUGACAGGUGACACAGGAGGGGACGGGAGGGGGGAUUCGGCCGCGGGGACCCCAUCCAGGAUUCCAGUAGCAGACAUUCCUCUUUCCUUCUUUUAUUACCCACAAGGUCAAAGCUGAAAUCACAGGGGGCUGCGUUGCCUUUUGAUGGGAGAGCCAGAGGCUGCAUUCCGAAGAUUGCACGAUGCCAGCUCCCAACUGCGAGGGGGCAGAUUUGUUGGAAUUUCUCAAAUCCAGUCUUUGAUACAUGCGUUGUUCCUUCAAUUGCUAAUAAACGGUCUUGGGGAGAAAAAA